ACUAGCCCAUGACUCUCUGGCCACCUGCCCUGAGCACUUUCCCUGGCUCCAGGGAAGCGCUCACAUCUUCAGCCUUCAGCGAGUGACCUGUGGCUGAUUCCCGGUCUGCUCUUCCCUCUAGCUUUUCAGCUUCCUGCAGAGACUGCUUCUCCUACCCUUUGACUCCUAUCUCUACUCUAAGCAGAGGCUGGCUACGUGAUCGUCAUUGGCCGCAGAUUCCUUCAUGGGCACUCCUCUUCUUUCUUCAUGUGUACCAAGGGGACAAGCCCACAAAAGGAACAAAACAAGAUGGUGGCACAGGCUGACAGCAUGGAGCAAGAUCUACUCCCCCACCAUCCCUGCCUCCCCACUGCGAUGGACUGUGUCCCCUGAACUGUGAGCCACAGCCAGGCCUUCCUCCCUUCUGUCGUGCCAACCAGGUGUGCCGCCGCAGCCACUGGAAACAUCAGGGCACAGUUUCCGAGUUUCAGCGCAGACAGAUGAAGAGGUUCGUUCAGUGGUGAGCAUACAGAGCUGUAGAGUGUGCUUCCAUCACAGAGCUGCACACCACACCUACAGCAGUGAAAGGGGAAGGUUUCACGAUGUACGUACUUUACCAGGAUCACAGACAAAAAAACCUUCAAUAGUUUUAUUUUUUUUUUAA